AGAUUCCGGAGAGGGAGCCUGAGAAACGGCUACCACAUCUAAGGAAGGCAGCAGGCGCGCAGAUUACCCAAUCCUGACACAGGGAGGUAGUGACAAGAAAUAACAAUACAGGGCUUCAUGUCUUGUAAUUGGAAUGAGUAGAUUUUACACCCCUUUACGAGUAUCAAUUGGAGGGCAAGUCUGGUGCCAGCAGCCGCGGUAAUUCCAGCUCCAAUAGCGUAUAUUAAAGUUGUUGCAGUUAAAAAGCUCGUAGUUGAAUUUCUGUUUUGAAAGUCUCGUGCUACUUCGGUACGCAUCGAUGAUUCUUCUAAACAUUUUUCCAAAACGCUCGCUGCACUUCAUUGUGUGGCGUCGCGUUUGGAUCUUUUACUUUGAGAAAAUUAGAGUGUUUCAAGCAAGCAUAUGCUU
rnacentral:rRNA from 1 species